GCAUAUAUGGUGUUAACGGAUAGCAUACCUGCCUUCCACGCAGGCGGUACGGGUUCGAGUCCCGCUAUAUGCU
rnacentral:tRNA from 1 species